rnacentral:tRNA from 1 species
GGGGCUGUGGCUCAGUGGGAGAGCGUUCGGUUCGCAUCCGAAAGGCCGAGGGUUCGAAUCCCUUCAGCUCCA